CUUUGGGGCAAACUGUGGAACUCACUUGCUCAGGGGAUAAGUUUGAUAGGUACUAUGUGCACUGGUACCAGCAGAGACAUGGCAGUGCCCCUCAACUGGUUAUAUAUAAGGACAGCAUAAGACCUGCCAAUAUUUCAGACCGCUUUUCUGGAGAGAGCUCUGGCGGCACAGCCACCUUAACCAUCACUGAUGUCCAACAGCAAGAUGAGGCUGACUAUUACUGCCAAGUCUGGGACAAAGAUGCUAGCCAGCA